CUGUGGUAAUUUAUGUUAAAAAAGAGAGUCAUUUAGUUAAAAAUAUGUUCUAUACAGUCAGCAUUAGUUUUUCUGUAUCUUAUUUUGAAGGAGUAAUCUGUGUUCGCAAUGCAUUGUGGGAAGCAGACGCUGCAGUCAGUCGGGAAAAGCAUUGUACAGAAAACCUGCCUAUCUGUGUUUAAACUUCAUCUCCUGUGGCCUGAAUCUUUAUAUACACCAUCGAAAGCAAUGGCUAUGACCUGCUCUAACUUCUAAGCCACAGCCACCUCAAAGCCACAGGAGGUGGAAAUGUCUCCAAAAUAUCCGUCCAACUCCAAGAAGAGCUUUGUCAAUCUAGUGGUGACCAAAAAAAGAGAGGCCAAGACACCUCAGCUUGGACCAGGAAAUGGUAGUGGAUGGAUUGAUGACUGGAUGAAUGGAUGGAUUGAUGGUGUUUGCGGGAAAACAACAGCAAUUCAGAGCUCAAGUGGUCUUAGCCCAGGCACAGAGGCCUCAGGCGGGGGACUCGAGUCAUGAUUCGCUCCCAGCAUGGAGGCUUGACAGCGGGGAUUACAUUCAUCUUGUCACCUGCUGAGAGGUGCCAGACAUGGACUCAUCCUGUCCUUGGAGAGGAUGAGUAAGGAGACAAUGGAC
ensembl:lncRNA